rfam:Schistosoma margrebowiei strain Zambia genome assembly, scaffold: SMRZ_scaffold0000551
UUCCAGCUGACGAGUCUCAAAUAGAACGAAACGAACGUCCUAAAU